rnacentral:misc_RNA from 1 species
CUCUACACCAGUACUGCAGUAUUCAAAUCAAUUUCUUGAUCCUGCAGAGACCAAAAAAAAAAGGGCUGAAACGAGAGCUUAGUUUGCACCAAUUCAUCACUGUUUAUUAAUUAUGGGGGAAAAGAAGCCUUAUUUAGCGGUGAUCUUGGUACAGUCAAUCUAUGCUGGAAUGUUCUUAGUCUCAAAAGCAGCCUUCAAUGUUGGUAUGAACAAUUUUGUCUUCGUAUUUUACAGACAGACUGCUGCAACUCUUUUCUUGGCUCCUCUUGCACUCUUCUUAGAAUGGUAUUACUAUUAACUUUCGUCUUGAUUUUCUAGAUUCUUUUUUUUUCCUUUUUAUAUUGUUUCAUCUUCUAUUAUGAUCAUCAUUCUGAUACAAAUUUAAAGGAAAAAUCGGCCGCCUCUAUCAUUCGUGACCUUUUGCAAGAUUUUUCUGCUAUCUUUAUGUGGGUAUGUGUAUAUAUACAGUUAAUGAUUCGAUUUCUCCUAUUCAUAUCUUUGAAUUGCUUUCACUGUUUCUUCCACUGAUAAAGAAAUCCAUGGAAAUUAAAACCUAAUAUUCUUCUUUUAGGAUUACUUUGAGUUUGGAUAUCUAUGGAAUCGCACUUGUUUACACUUCUGCAACUUUGGCUGCUGCAACUACAAAUUGCCUUCCCGUCAUUACUUUCUUCCUGGCCCUUUUGCUCAGGUAUUGCAAAGCUUAUAGGCAUAAUAGCAUGUAUGGCUGGAGCUGCAACUCUUGCAUUUUUUAAAGGCCCCCACUUUAAACUCUUGUGCAAUCAUCAAAUUUUUGGAUCCUAUCACAGCCAAGAGCUUGUGGGGCAUGUUUCUUCUGGGAAAACAUGGAUAAAGGGUUGUUUCCUUAUGCUCAUGUCCAACAUCUUUUGGGGCUUGUGGCUUGUUUUGCAGGUAAUCUACUAUUGCUAAAUAAACUCUGUAAUGCAUUUAGAGCUCAUUUAUUUAUUUUUGCCACUAAGUUCAUGGAAAAAAUUUUCAUUUUUAGUGUUGAAUAAGGUUCAUCUUCUAGGAGGAAACUUGUCCAAGUCAUAUACGAAUCUUUUUUGAGUAAUAUUCGAUCGAUGUAGGACAACGCACCCCCUCAUGCCCAGGACUGGAUAUCUAGAUUAAAGUUUGUAGGACUAAAUAGCUAUAGUUGAUCCAACACUAAAACAAGGAUAGGCUUUGAUACCAUGUUGAGUAAAAUUGACUGAACCUAACUCUAUCUCAAAAGACACUUUGUUAGGUAGAGGUAUAUCCAAAUCAUAUAUAAAGCUCUUUUGAGCAAUACUUGGUUGAUGUGGGGCAACAUUUAGUGUGUUAAAAAUUAGUGAAAGUCCAACAUCAUUCAUAUGUAUUUGUUAUUAGCUUUACAGAAAAUGCCGACUAGGUUGAAUUUGAGUUAGUCCAGUCCAAUUAAACUAAUAUUUUGAGCACUCCUUAACUCAACCCCCAUUACUGAGUCUAUAAUUGGAUCUUUUUAUCUUAGAUCUUAUUUGUAUAGAAAAGAAUAUUUGCUUCAAAGAUUAGUAUAUAUGCAGGCAGGAGUUUUGAAAAGUUAUCCGUCAAAGCUUCUCUUCACCACACUUCAGUGCUUUUUAAGCUCAAUCCAAUCAUUUGUCAUUGCCAUUGCUUUAGUAAGAGAUCCUCAUGAGUGGAUGCUUGGUUGGAAUGUCAGACUUUUAGCUAUAGUUUAUUGUGGAAUUAUGGUGACGGGAGUUACAUUUUAUGUGCAAGCAUGGGUUAUAGAGAAGAAAGGGCCAGUGUUCUUGGCCAUGUCCACACCAUUAAAUUUGAUCUUUACAACGUUUUGUUCUGCACUUCUCCUAUGUGAAAUCAUCAGUUUGGGAAGCGUUAUGGGUGGGGUAUUAUUGGUUGGAGGCCUCUACAGUGUCUUAUGGGGGAAAAGCAAAGAAGAGAAAAUGAAAGAUAAAAUUUGCAUAAUAGGGGAUGCUGAGCAGAAAGAAUGCUCAGAGUUGAAACAAGUCAUUCCAGUGGCAAUUAAGGGACAAUUGCCUGUGUAAUUUGAUUGCUACCAUCAUUGUCUCGCAAGUGGAAUGCAUUGAACCUUUUCUUGCCUUUAUUAGAAGGAAAAAGAAAGAGAUUAUAAAUGAAGUGAGGUGAGGUUUUAUGGUUGCCAACAGAAAAGUAAUGCUUCAGAUUUUUUAUAAUGUACACUUUAACUUUUAUUAUUUCUUUGAUUUGUUAACGAUGUUAUACUUUAGUCUUUAAUUAUAACAUUACA